CUACGGAGGGUGCAAGCGUUACUCGGAAUCACUGGGCGUAAAGCGCGCGCAGGCGGCCAUUUAAGUUGGAUGUGAAAGCCUACGGCUCAACCGUAGAACUGCAUCCAAAACUAUUUGGCUAGAGUGUGGGAGAGGAAGAUGGAAUUAGUUGUGUAGGGGUAAAAUCCGUAGAGAUAACUAGGAAUACCAAAAGCGAAGGCAAUCUUCUGGAACAUUACUGACGCUGAGGCGCGAAAGCGUGGGGAGCAAACAGGAUUAGAAACCCCGGUAGUCC
rnacentral:rRNA from 1 species